AAAAUUUUAGUUUAUAUAAAAUUAUUUAUUUACAAUAAAUGGAAUAAUAGAUUUGUUAAAAUUUUA
rnacentral:tRNA from 1 species